rnacentral:lncRNA from 1 species
CCUUUAAUUUUCUUAUGAAUUUACUGCGCUAGAGACGUUCAUUCCUUAAAACGCAUUGACUGGGGUCGCGCUUGGCUCAGGGCGCUGUCCCAGGCUCCUUGUCGCCCAAGUAUCCCAAAGCUCCCAUCCCUGCCCGCGCGGCCGGGUCAGUGAGCCCGCGCUGUUUGGAGGACGCCCAAAGAUUGCUGCAAGCGAGGAAGGCAUUCGGGCUCCCGACUGGAGUUCCAGGUCCUGGAAGAACGACUGAGAGUUGAAAGGUUACGCUCCAGGCCGGGGCUCCAUCGCGCGUUUGCAACCAUCAGACAGAGGGCCCAGACAGGAUCUUCCUAAGACGGACUGCCUCAGCCCCCAUAACUAAGCUGUGAAAACACUCUCAGUUUUAGGAGCAGAAUGGAAGUCACUCCAUCAGAAUAAAGCGUUUGUGGAGCUACGCUGGCGAUUCCUAAAACCCUGAAAAUCCUCUCUCAGGACGGCGAAUUGAGGUUGUUCUCUCCGUGCACAUUUGCGCAGUAGAAAUGGAUGGCUGGUUCGCUGAUCUGUCCGCAGCAGCAAAAAAAAAAAUCUUUAACAAGGGAACUUGAAAGCCCAUCUGGAAUUCUGGAAGGAGGCAGCCUCUUGUGGCUCCCAUCUGGCAACAUAGAGCAACUGCUGCCAAAUAGGAAUGGAAUUGUGGCAGAUUUAAGUGAUCUUCCAUGUUUCAAAUCAUGCAAGUAGAAUAAUUAAUGAAUGAUUUACUCUGGUGUUUGUGGUGAUGACAGAAUCUACAAGGCAAUGAAUGACCAACCAGUCGGAAACAUCACAGCACCUGAAUUCUCACAUUAGAGGCAAUGAGAUACAGAGCAUACUGUGCCUUAGGUAUCUAUUAUCUUUUGCCUUUUGGGAAUCAUCACUUUCUCACAGUCCAUCCCAUCACCCCAGCUUCUGGAAAGGACCCAAGUACGGCCACUAAGCAUUCAAACUCCUCGCCACAGUGACAGGGCUAGGUUACUUGAACUAAGUCACUGUAUUCAGUUUAGGAACUUUCACUCAACUAUUGAGAAAGAGGGGCUAUUAAUAAAACUGGACUUGACACAAACCA